AGGACGAACGCUGGCGGCGUGCUUAACACAUGCAAGUCGAGCGGAAAGGCCCUUCGGGGUACUCGAGCGGCGAACGGGUGAGUAACACGUGAGUAACCUGCCCUUGGCUCUGGGAUAGCUCCGGGAAACCGGAAUUAAUACCGGAUAUGACUUCGGCCGACAUCGGCUGCGGUGGAAAGAUUUAUCGGCCAGGGAUGGGCUCGCGGCCUAUCAGCUUGUUGGUGGGGUAACGGCCUACCAAGGCGACGACGGGUAGCCGGCCUGAGAGGGCGACCGGCCACACUGGGACUGAGACACGGCCCAGACUCCUACGGGAGGCAGCAGUGGGGAAUAUUGCGCAAUGGGCGAAAGCCUGACGCAGCGACGCCGCGUGGGGGAUGAAGGCCUUCGGGUUGUAAACCCCGUUUCGGCAGGGACGAAGCGAAAGUGACGGUACCUGCAGAAGAAGCGCCGGCUAACUACGCGCCAGCAGCCGC
rnacentral:rRNA from 1 species